UACAGAGGGUGCGAGCGUUGUUCGGAUUCAUUGGGCGUAAAGGGUGCGUAGGCGGCGGGGUAAGUCUGAUGUGAAAUCCUGGGGCUCAACCCCAGAACUGCAUUGGAUACUGCCUUGCUAGAGUACUGGAGAGGAAACUGGAAUUUACGGUGUAGCAGUGAAAUGCGUAGAGAUCGUAAGGAAGACCAGUGGCGAAGGCGAGUUUCUGGACAGUAACUGACGCUGAGGCACGAAGGCCAGGGGAGCAAACGGG
rnacentral:rRNA from 1 species